GACGAACGCUGGCGGCGUGCCUAAUACAUGCAAGUCGAGCGGUCCCUUCGGGGAUAGCGGCGGACGGGUGAGUAACACGUAGGCAACCUGCCUGUAAGACCGGAAUAACUAUCGGAAACGAUAGCUAAGACCGGAUAGCUGGUUUUCUCGCAUGAGAGAAUCAUGAAACACGGGGCAACCUGUGGCUUACAGAUGGGCCUGCGACGCACUAGCUAGUUGGUAGGGUAACGGCCGACCAAGGCGACGAUGCGUAGCCGACCUGAGAGGGUGACCGACCACACUGGGACUGAGACACGGCCCGGACUCCUACGGGAGGCAGCAGUAGGGAAUCUUCCGCAAUGGACGCAAGUCUGACGGAGCAACGCCGCGUGAGUGAUGAAGGUCUUCGGAUCGUAAAGCUCUGUUGCCCUAGACGAACAGCAAGGAGAGUAACUGCUCUUUGUGUGACGGUAUAGGAGAAGAAAGCCCCGGCUAACUACGUGCCAGCCGCCGCGGUAA
rnacentral:rRNA from 1 species